rnacentral:sRNA from 1 species
UAGGCUUUGGGUAUUAGAGGCGUCCCACGUCGCCGUCGGGUGGUUUCACUUAGCUCUAACUUGACUAACACCACCGCAGAGUGGUGGUGUGCUUGUGGUGGCUAGCUGUUUGGGUGGGUGGUUACACUAGCCGCUCACGGGUUUUAAUUAAUUUGGUGCAACAUUUUGCACUGGGCCGAGCCCAACAGCCCGACUUGGUCAAUGGGCGCAUAUAUCAAGACAAUCGGCUGAUUGGCAGCCGCAUACAUUACCCACAUCCAGGUGGCUGAGGAGUGGGGCUGGGACCCACCUGUCAGCGGUGCUUAUGAUUAACUGUCACUUGUAACUGGUUGUGAUGGAUUUAUUGCUGUCAAUUUGACAAAUCAAUGCAGCAGUUGGCCGUCCAUCGAAGGCGUUCAUUGGGGCGAUCAGUCCUCAACUGGCGACGACUUAAUUGGGAAAUCACCGAAGACUGGGACUUUGGGGGAGGCCAAGGGGAAUGCAGAUUAGGCCAGGUGAUGCGGCACAGGUGCAAUUCAAAGUAAACGCCUAAAUCAGGAAUUUUCAAUCAGUUUAUGCGACAAUUAAUCAGGCAAGCGUUCUCCUCAAACAAACCCAAAAUCUUGCAUUGAAUUUUGAGGCUCCGAUUUCUGCAGCAACUCCUUGUUAAAUUCCCUGGUUGAAAUGGAUGAAAUAGAGAGAGAAACUCGAGAUCGGAGGAGACCAGUUUGGACUUUACUACCGUCUGUCACCUGAUGGCAGGCAAAUAUUAAUUUACCGAUAUAUCUUUUGCCAGUGAUUUUGUUUUGCUGCACAGUUGGCUAAUGAAAUCGUAAGUGCUUUUAUCUCGUAAA